rnacentral:misc_RNA from 1 species
AACUGAUACUACCUGCGGGAACCUGCGGAAGGAUCAUUAACGAGAUAGGGUUCUUUGAGCCCGACCCUCCCAACCCUUUGUUUAAGUAAAUCUGUUGCUUCGGCGGGUCCGUCCUUGGACCGCCGGGGGAGUGAUCCCCUGGCCUGUGCCCGCCGACGGCCCUAUUUAGAUUCUGAUCAAACGUGUUCUCUAAGUCCCAAUCUUUAAUGAAGCAAAACUUUUAACAAUGGAUCUCUAGAU